UACGUAGGGGGCAAGCGUUGUCCGGAAUCAUUGGGCGUAAAGAGCGUGUAGGCGGCCCGGUAAGUCCGCUGUGAAAGUCCAGGGCUCAACCCUGGGAUGCCGGUGGAUACUGUCGGGCUAGAGUGCGGAAGAGGCGAGUGGAAUUCCUGGUGUAGCGGUGAAAUGCGCAGAUAUCAGGAGGAACACCAAUUGCGAAGGCAGCUCGCUGGGACGUGACUGACGCUGAGACGCGAAAGCGUGGGGAGCAAACAGG
rnacentral:rRNA from 1 species